UACUAAUACUACUACAAAUGAAAGUGUUGGAGUGCUCUAAAAAUAAUACUAGAAUCUUUUAAGCCAAGUAAUACAUUAGAAUAAAAAACAAUACUAGAAUAAUAUAUAGUACAAACAAUAAUAUAUACAAAACCCUACUAGAAUAAAUUUGGUGGCUAAACACUACUAGAACAUAUAUUAGAGACUUAUAUACUACUACUAGUACUACUACAAAUGAAAGUGUUGGAGUGCUCUAAAAAUAAUACUAGAAUAUCUUUUAAGCCAAGUAAUACACUAGAAUAAAAAACAAUACUAGAAUAAUAUAGUACAAACAAUAAUAUAUACAAAACCCUACUAGAAUAAAUUUGGUGGCUAAACACUACUAGAACAUAUAUUAG
rnacentral:lncRNA from 1 species